UUUUUUAAUGUGAAAUUUUCAAAAAUGAAAAAAUAGAUAAAAAUUUGUAUUUUUUUAUAAUGUUGAACGUCUAUAGAAGAAAACACAACGAAUAGAAAUGGAAAAUUAUUUCGAUAGAAAAUGAUUAAUUAUGAAACAAAUUUUAAUCAUAAAAUGAAAGAGUUUGAAAGCAACCAAUGAACAUACGAAGAAAUGAAGAACGUGAACUAGUAAUUGAACGAAAAAUCAAUCAUUUCUGAUAGAGAAAUUAUGUAAUAUGAACUUCUAUUAUAUGAACAAUCUGAUUAUGUGAACGUGUUUGUUAUUCAAUAUAUAAAUGAAAAGUUCAACUAUAAAUAUACAAAUAAUAAAACUUAUAUCUCAUGAUUGAUAUUACUUCGUAAGAUUAACUAUGUGAGAAAUGGUUAUGCAAUUACGUACGCAGUGUUGUUCAAUUUAUCGCGGUUUCCCGCGACUCGAAUCGAAAGGCAGUAGCUUCCGUAAGAGAGGAAGGCAAAUCUUGCCGCGGCGCGAGUUUUUUGCCAAAUUAAAGUCGUUAGAGGAUAAACGAGAGACUUGCUGGAACAGCCAAGUGGCAAGAAAUCUUCUUCGUGGAGGGUCUAAUCGCAAGGCGUGCGUUGAAGCUCGCGAUCCUACCGCCAUCUUCCAAGAAGGAAACGAAAAGAACAGAAUAUCUCGAAGAAAGCAAUUUCUCAGGACGCGAAAACGUAGCGGGAUCCAUUCGUCAAAGUUAAAGGCAACGACAUCGUUGAACAACGGUUCGAAUUUACGAGCUCCACGAAGCGCGAACAGCGUCAAAGUUGCAGCUCGACACGCCACCAAGGUAUACCGAGCAGGAAACUGGACUGUUCCACUGCUGAGCUUCUCCGGUUGAAGAAAUUCUUGGACACUUCCUGCUCUUCGAUCUCCGCCACUGAUACGUGUUUCACAGACCAUGUUAACCUUGAGGCCAUCCCGAGUUAAUGAGAAAACUGGAGAAAGAACGUUCGGUUUUACAGAUUGUUUUACAGUUUUCGCAGGUUGAUUAGAUCCAAGCAUAGAUCGUAAUUAUUAUCAAGGCAAGAAAACAAUUAUAUUUUUUUUGUUAGGAAGGAUAAAUAGCAAUUGAAAAUAUUAUAUAGGGAUGCUAUAAAAGCAAUGAAUAGAUGAAAUCAAUCAUCAUUGUUCAGAAAACAAUAUCUUCUUCACUUGUUUCAUAGAGAAAUUUUGCAAUAUCCAUAUAUCGCCAUUCAUAAGGAUCAUUGUUUGCGCUCGAUUUUGUGAACACAAGGUUUAAUAUUUAAAGACGAGGGAAUACUUUCACUAUGUUUGUUUCUCGUAAGUAGCGGCUAUGUUAUUAUUUCACCGACGAGCCUUUGGCAUUCGCACGAGAGUUAAAGCGUGCUUAGGACCUUGUUCGAUCCCGCUGGUCUCCUCAAAGAAGCGAGAACCCAGUGUCGACGAUUUCCUCGUCUAAUCUUUGACUCGUCGAAUCUUUGGUUUCACGAAAAUUAUCCAGUUACCGAGGAAUCGAGUCUCGUUCCCUCUUCUCAUCGGGGAAUGAAGUUCUAACCGAGGCUGAACGACGCGCUAGUGCGAGUCAACUCCAUAGAAAGUUUCAUACACACUUUCACCGUGGUGGAUUGGUGCGAAGCACGUCAGGGUGUCUGUUUGGAGCUUUUACGGUUUCGAGAAGAAGGCAAAUCCGCAUAUCGAGCUCUCCUGUCCCCUUUGCGGUACGUUUCGCCUCUGUGCACCUUCAAUGGUAGUUUCGAAUGCUUCCCACGACCGGGAGGAUCAA